rnacentral:rRNA from 1 species
AGCGAACGCUGGCGGUAGGCCUAACACAUGCAAGUCGAACGGCAGCACAGUAAGAGCUUGCUCUUACGGGUGGCGAGUGGCGGACGGGUGAGGAAUAUAUCGGAAUCUACUUUUUCGUGGGGGAUAACGUAGGGAAACUUACGCUAAUACCGCAUCCGACCUACGGGUGAAAGCAGGGGAUCUUCGGACCUUGUGCGAUUGAAUGAGCCGAUGUCGGAUUAGCUAGUUGGCGGGGUAAAGGCCCACCAAGGCGACGGGCCGUAGCUGGUGUGAGAGGAUGGUCAGCCACACUGGAGCGUGGACACGGUCCAGGCGCCUACGAGAGGCAGCAGUGUGGAAUAUUGGACAAUGGGCGCAAACCUGAUCCAGCCAUACCGCGUGGGUGAAGAAGGCCUUCGGGUUGGAAAGCCCUUUUGUUGGGAAAGAAAAGCAGCAGCUUAAUACCCCGCUGUUCUGACGGUACCCAAAGAAGAAGCACCGGCUAACUUCGUG